ACGCAGGCGGACUUGUAGGUAUCUUGUGAAAUCCCACGGCUUAACCGUGGAGCUGCAGGGUAAACCACAAGUCUUGAGACAUGUAGGGGUCAGUGGAACCAUGAGUGGAGCGGUGAAAUGCGUAGAUAUUCAUGGGAACGCCAAUGGCGAAGGCAGCUGACUGGGCAUGUUCUGACGCUCAGGUACGAAAGCGUGGGUAGCGAACGGGAUUAGAUACCCCGGUAGUCCACGCCGUAAACGAUGCACACUAGGUCGUGGGAUCUCUCAUGAUUUCGCGGCCGAAGGUAAACUGAUUAGUGUGCCGCCUGGGGAGUACGGUCGCAAGGCUAAAACUCAAAGGAAUUGACGGGGGCUCACACAAGCGGUGGAGCAUGUUGCUUAAUUCGAGGCAACGCGAAGAACCUUACCUGGGCUUGACAUGUAUGGAUUAGCUUAUGGAAACAUAAGUGACGCCCUUGGGUGGAACAUACACAGGUGCUGCAUGGCUGUCGUCAGCUCGUGCUGUGAAGUGUCGGGUUAAGUCCCUUAACGAGCGCAACCCCUAUCGUUAGUUACUAACGCGUUAUGGCGAGGACUCUAGCGAGACUGCCGGUGUCAAACCGGAGGAAGGUGGGGAUGACGUCAAGUCCUCAUGGCCUUUAUGCCCAGGGAUGCAAACGUGCUACAAUGGUACGGACAAAGCGAUGCAAUACCGCGAGGUGGAGCAAAUCGCGAAACCGUGCCCCAGUUCGGAUAGCAGCUGAAAUUCGCCUGCUUGAAGCCGGAAUCGCUAGUAAUCGCGUAUCAGCUACGACGCGGUGAAUACGUUCC
rnacentral:rRNA from 1 species